rnacentral:lncRNA from 1 species
GACAGGUCCGAGACUUGUGGGUUUAGUUACGUGAGGCCCUACUGUAUUACACUUCAGGGUUAUUUUGAGAUGGUCACGAGAGAGCACUUGAACCCUGAACAAAGAACCUCUCUUGCCUUAUCCUAUUACAGAUGACAGUGAAGUGUUUUAAGUGCCCGGAGUCUGAUGCAACUGCAAAACCCCAACCAAAAGGUUGCCAAACAUCCUUGUUAUGGGACUCAAGAAAAAGCCACGUAAAAGGAAAGAAAGCUUUCCUUUCCUCUCUGGCCUGUCAAAGGGCAUUCUCCCCGCACCCAGACUCCUAAAGAGGAAGGAUUCUUGCUUAUGGAAGGAAAGCUAGGUACACAGUGUCUGUGUGUUCCCUGCUCUUGGAUCUCUGACUUGAGUGAAUCUGCUCCAACUGCCUCAGCCAGCCCUGGCCUUGGUCUUUCUGGCAAGACAUCCUAGAAGACUGUAUUUUGCUAAGACUGCAACUGCCAGCCACAAGCUUGAUGAGCAGCCUAGGGAAUGUGGUACUAUUCUGGGAGGAGGGUGUGUGUGUGUGUGUGUGUGUGUGUGUGUGUGUGUGUGUGUGUGUGUAGGGAAUGUGGGGGAGACAUAAUAAACACUUGUAUAAAGCCUACCACAAAUCAUUACUUUUUAUUGUCAAAGAGUAGGCUAAACAAUUUUGUUUCUUGGAUUUGCUUUCAAUAUGAUAUAGUUACUUAAGCUAUUAUGUAAUUAAAUAAUUAACCACCUUUAAAGUAAAGUAUCAGGUGGGUGCACUGGAUCCCACCUGUAAUCCCAACCCUCUGGAAGGCAGAGGUGGGAGGAUUUUUUGAGGCCAGAAGUUCAAGACCAGCCUGGUCAACAUAGCGAGACCCUGUCUUGUUUAAAUAAAAAUUUUAAAAUAAAAAAAAAGAGCUUCUGCACAGCAAAAGAAACUAUCACCAGAGUGAACAGGCAACCUACAGAAUGGGAGAAAAAUUUUGCAAUCUACCCAACUGACAAAGGUCUAAUAUUCAGAAUUAACAAGGAUCUUAAAGAAAUUUACAAGAAAAAAACAAACAACCCAUCAAAAAGUGGGCAAAGGACAUGGACAGACACUUCUCAAAAUAAGACAUUUAUGUGGCCAACAAAUACAUGAAAAAAAGAUCAACAUCAUUAAUCAUUAGAGAAAUGCAAAUCAAAAUCACAAUGAGAUACCAUCUCACUCCAGUUAAAAUGGCAAUUAUUAAAAAGUCAAGAAACAACAGAUACUGGUGAGGCUUUGAGGAAAUAGGAAUGCUGUUACACUGUUGGUGGGAAUGCAAAUUAGUUCAACCACUGUGGAAGACAGUGUGGUGAUUCCUCAAGGAUCUGGAACCAGAAAUACCAUUUGACCCAGGAAUCCCAUUACUGAGUAUGUACCCAAAGAAAUAUAAAUCAUUCUAUUAUAAAGAUACAUGCACAUGUAUGUUUAUUGCAACACUAUUCACAAUAGCAAAGACAUGGAAUCAACCCAAAUGCCCAUCAAUUAUAGACUGGAUGAAGAAAAUGGGCCGGGCACGGUGGUUCACGCCUAUAAUCCUAACAUUUUGGGAGGCAGAGGCGGGUGGAUCACCUGAGGUCAGGAGAUCGAGACCAGCCUGGCCUACAUGGUGAAACCCCC